rnacentral:rRNA from 1 species
AUGCAGCCCAAGAUCACUAGUGCUUUGGAUCCUAAUUCAAGAGAUGCACUUGGCCUAGCUUGGUCCAAGUUUUUUCAUGCCAAUGAUAUUGCUGGACAUAAAGCUGAUUGCCCAUACUUCCGAGCUGCUGUGAAGAUCACUCAACAAUUAGGGCCUGCUCCUAUACCAACCGCAAAGGAUAUUGAUGGGAAAUAUUUGGAGGCUAACUAUGAUGAAGCUACUUCCUUUCUUCAAAAAUUUAAACAAGAUUGGAAAAACUUCGGUGUGACUCUUAUGUGUGACUCUUGGACUGGUCCAACAGGAAUGAGCCUCAUAAACUUCAUGGUAUAUUGUAAUACACGAAUGUUCUUCCUCAAUACCAUUGAUGCAUCCGGUCAGACUCAGAAUUCAGACUUUAUCUAUAGAGAGAUUGAGAAGGUUGUAGAAGAGAUAGGCCAUGAACAUAUUGUUCAAAUAGUAACCGAUAAUGGGUCCAACUAUAAGAAAGCUUGCAAAACCCUUAUAGAAGAACCAAAAUACUCUCAUAUUGUUUGGCAACCGUGUGCUGCCCACACCGUCAAUCUUAUGUUAAAAGAUAUAGCCAAAUUUCCCGAGGUUGAUGUGAUAGUCAAGAGUGCCAAGACAAUCUGUAGGUUCUUGCAUAAGCACAAUAACCUACAUGAUAACAUGAAGAAGAACAUAGGUGGUGAACUAAUUAGACCAAAUGCCACCCGUUUUGGGACUGUCUUCAUGUUCCUUGAGAGUUACCAUUUGAAGAAAGAUAAAUUUAGGGAGUGGAUGGUUUCGACUGAUUGGAAGGAGUGUCAGUGGAGGUAUGAGCCUGGAUAUGUGUUUGUUGAAGAAUGUUUGUCUAGUAAUGUUUGGUGGAACACGCUAGAGUGGGUAUUGGGUUCAUUGAGGCCACUUUAUAAGGCCAUGAGGUAUGCUGAUACACAGAAACAAUGCACUCUUUCUGGAUUCAAGAAAAGUAUGAUGCUCGCUAUACAAGGGAUGGAAGCACAUCUAGGCCCUACAUCAAGGUUGUACCUUAGUUUCAUGCGCAAGGUGGGCAAGAGGAUAGAGGCAAGGGAAGAAGAUACAUUUAUGGUUGCAGCUGUUGUCCUUGAUCCAUAUACACAUUACAAGCUCAACCUUUGCAACCAUACAGAUUAUGCUACCUCACUAACAGAUGCGAUAGCGAAGAUAUUAGAUCCAAAGAGUGCUCUUUCAGCCAUUGAUGAAGUAAGUAAGUUUAGGGAGUGCCAAGGGAGGUUUGGGACCAGAUUAGCAGAAGAAGCUGCGGCGAGAAUGGAGCCAACCCAAUGGUGGUUUCAAUUUGGAGGGGAUGUUCCUGCAUUGCAGAAGUGUGCAAUGAGAAUUUGCUCACAAUGUAUCUCAUCAAGUGGGUGUGAGAGGAAUUGGAGCGCCUUUGCUUUGGUGCACACAAAGCAAAGAAAUCGUCUUUUAUAUGACAAGCUCCACAAGCUAGUUUCUGUAUGCUACAACCUAAAGAUACGUGCUGAAGAAGAUCAAGAGAAAGAUAUAGAUAAUGAAGUUGAUCCAAGUGCACUGCUGAUGGACACAACAAUGUUUGAUGAAGCAAAUCCAAUAAUGGAGUGGCUGAAUGAGGAUGAAGAGGAUCCAAUUGUGGAUGGAGCUAAUGAAGCCAGUGCUGUUUUUGAGAAAAUAAGGCGUCUCAAUUCAGGCAGGAAGGAUUCUUAUGUUGGUACAAAGGGUAAUAAGAAGAAAAGGAAGAGGAAUCAUGAUGAGGAGAAUGAGUAUGUCGAAACUGAGAGUGAGGAUGACGACGAAGAUAAUGAGUAUGUUGAUAAUGAGAGUGAGGAUGAUGAUGGGGUGAGUGAGGAUGAUGAGGAUGAUCAACAAGAUCAGCAAGAGACACAAAUGCAAGUGGAAGAAGAGACACAAGUACAAGCUGAAAAGGAGACAGCAGCAAGUGUUGGCAAUUUGGAGACUCGUAGAUCUGGACGACUAGUUAGGAAGAAGACCAAGGAAGUGAAUAGCCUCUACUCGUAG